UUUGCUGCAGGUCUAGAAGAUGUUACAGAAUUUCAAGCAAGAGAGGUUGCUGUGGGAGGCCCGCCGCCUGCUGGCAAGGAAGAUGGUUGAUUCUUCUGAGCAAUGGAGGCCCCGCAGAGUCCUGCAGUCACUGUGGCCUGGCGUCCAUGGCGCACUCAAUGCUGGUGGAUGGCUCAAUAUGAGGCAAUUGCUGUGGGAGGCGUGGUGUAACUGCUGGAAGGAAGACACUCAAUUCUUCUGA
rnacentral:lncRNA from 1 species